UACGGAGGGCGCGAGCGUUAAUCGGAAUCACUGGGCGUAAAGCGCGCGCAGGCGGCCUUUCAAGUCCGACGUGAAAGCCCCGGGCUCAACCUGGGAACUGCGCCGGAUACUGGGGGGCUGGAGUGUGGGAGAGGGGUGUGGAAUUUCCGGUGUAGCAGUGAAAUGCGUAGAGAUCGGAAGGAACACCAGUGGCGAAGGCGGCACCCUGGACCAACACUGACGCUGAGGCGCGAAAGCGUGGGGAGCAAACAGG
rnacentral:rRNA from 1 species